UGAAUAAUCAAUGAAAAGGUUUAUCCAUGCAAGCUUCAAACCAAAGUCAAGGAUGUCGAUCCUUCCAGGGGAGUCCAAAGUUCCAAGAUUGUUUAUCCAUGCAUCAUUUUGUCGAUCUACUAAGAUUAAAUUGUCUCGUUGUAGUUGCAAGACUGGAACAAUAGACGGCAGUUUACACCACCCAGUGACUUCCAUGCUGACGCGAUGAAUGAUUAUUUCAUUUCUCAGGCAGUGAUAGAAAAUACCAGAGCAAAUGAUAUACACAAGCGAGUUCCCUUUUUAGUACCGCUUACUAGCAGGGUUAAGAUUUUCACUACACAACUAGCAGCAGCUAGGCAAAUGAAUGGAUCUCUUGCUGUUUUUGCCAGAAACCGGUUUAGAAUUCGACGAAAUCAUAUAUUGGAAGAUGCUUUCAGUCAGAUGAGUGCAUUGUCUGAAGUUGAUCUUCGAGGAUCGAUACGUGUGUCUUUUGUUAAUGAAUUUGGAGUUGAGGAGGCAGGAAUUGAUGGUGGUGGUAUUUUUAAAGAUGUCAUGGAGAACAUUACACAGGCAGCCUUUGACGUGCAGUAUGGUUUAUUUAAGCAAAUUGCUGACCAUUUGCUCUACCCCAAUCCUGGUUCGGGAAUGAUACAUGAGCAACAUCUCCAGUUUUUCCAUUUCCUCGAAGUUCUUUUGGCAAAGGUCAUGUUUGAAGUAACUCUUGUUGAUAUACUUUUUGCAACAUUCUUCUUGAGCAAGUUAAAACAGAACUUUCAAUAUCAGGUUCACUGGACAGCUUGGAUGUUGAUGACCUACGGACACAUACUACUUAUUCAAGUGGUUAUCAUAGGGAGCAUUAUGUCAUUGAGAUGUUUUGGGAAGUUAUCAAAAGUUUCUCAGUGGAAAACCAAAAGAAAUUUCUGAAAGACUGGCAGAUGGUUUAAGUAGCUUUAAAACAAGUAGAAUAAAUCUUAUUGAUUUACCUGGUUCCGGAGGCAGAAGCUAACAGGUGCAGCUGGGGAGCGCUUGAAGGAAGCACGCAAUAUCAACCGAUCACUCUCACAACUCGGAUCGGAAUGAUGUUGCUCAUCUGAAAGAAGGCAGCAUCAUGUGCUUGAAGACUUGU